rnacentral:lncRNA from 1 species
GUUUCCUGCAGCAAGUGUCAUGGCGACUUCCUGUUUACCUUUCUGGCUCCAACGCGUGCUUUCAACUUCCAAACUUCUGCGCUGUUCUCCGUGACAUUGUGACAUCUAUAUGGAUUUAUACGUGGUGAUCAUAUCUAGUACCAUCCGGAACAUCAAGCAUCAAUAUUUGAUACGCGACACUUUGCCUACUGGUCGUCAGCAGCUCCCAUAAAGGUGAUUCGCACAGAUCAUGGCUUGAAGCCGUCUGCUGCUUCAGUUUCUUACGCUUGGAUCUUCAGCAAAGGUGAACUUUGCUCGGGAGAUUGCGGCGCC